rnacentral:rRNA from 1 species
AGAUUGAACGCUGGCGGCAUGCCUAACACAUGCAAGUCGAACGGGAGUAGCAAUACUCUAGUGGCGGACGGGUGAGGAAUACGUAGGAAUUUGCCCUUAAGUGGGGGAUAACCCGGGGAAACCCGGAUUAAUACCGCAUGACCUCGAAAGAGCAAAGUGGGGGAUCGCAAGACCUCACGCUUUUGGAGAAGCCUACGUCGGAUUAGCUAGUUGGUGAGGUAAUGGCUCACCAAGGCGACGAUCCGUAACUGGUCUGAGAGGAUGAUCAGUCACACCGGAACUGAGACACGGUCCGGACUCCUACGGGAGGCAGCAGUGGGGAAUAUGGACAAUGGGCGCAAGCCUGAUCCAGCAAUGCCGCGUGCGUGAAGAAGGCCUUCGGGUUGUAAAGCACUUUAAGUUGGUAAGAAAAAAACUACGACUCUAACAACAGUAGAGUACUUGACGGUACCGACAGAAUAAAGACACGGCUAACUACCUGUGCCAGCAGCCGC